rnacentral:rRNA from 1 species
GACGUAGGGCGCGAGCGUUGUCCGGAUUUAUUGGGCGUAAAGAGCUCGUAGGCGGCUUGUUGCGUCGACUGUGAAAACCCGCGGCUUAACUGCGGGCUUGCGGUCGAUACGGGCAUCACUGGAGUUCGGCAGGGGAGACUGGAAUUCCUGGUGUAGCGGUGAAAUGCGCAGAUAUCAGGAGGAACACCGGUGGCGAAGGCGGGUCUCUGGGCCGAUACUGACGCUGAGGAGCGAAAGCGUGGGGAGCGAACAGG